rnacentral:tRNA from 1 species
GACCCCUUCGUCUAGUGGUCCAGGACACUGGGUUUUCAUCCCAGAAACACGGGUUCGAUUCCCGUAGGGGUCG